AUAUAGCUGACGAAUCCCAACUAAAAUGAAACGCGAGUCCUGAAU
rnacentral:hammerhead_ribozyme from 1 species